rnacentral:rRNA from 1 species
ACGCUAGCUACAGGCUUAACACAUGCAAGUCGAGGGGAAACGGCAUUUAGUGCUUGCACUGAAUGGACGUCGACCGGCGCACGGGUGAGUAACGCGUAUCCAACCUUCCCAUUACUUUGGGAUAACCUGCCGAAAGGCAGACUAAUACCUCAUAGUCUUCGAUGACGGCAUCAGAUUUGAAGUAAAGAUUUAUCGGUAAUGGAUGGGGAUGCGUCUGAUUAGCUUGUUGGCGGGGUAACGGCCCACCAAGGCAACGAUCAGUAGGGGUUCUGAGAGGAAGGUCCCCCACAUUGGAACUGAGACACGGUCCAAACUCCUACGGGAGGCAGCAGUGAGGAAUAUUGGUCAAUGGACGUAAGUCUGAACCAGCCAAGUAGCGUGCAGGAUGACGGCCCUAUGGGUUGUAAACUGCUUUUGUAUGGGGAUAAAGUCAAUCACGUGUGAUUGUUUGCAGGUACCAUACGGAUAAGGACCGGCUAAUUCCGUGCCAGCAGCCGCGGUAAUACGGAAGGUUCGGGCGUUAUCCGGAUUUAUUGGGUUUAAAGGGAGCGUAGGCCGGAGAUUAAGUGUGUUGUGAAAUGUAGACGCUCAACGUCUGAAUUGCAGCGCAUACUGGUUUCCUUGAGUACGCACAACGUUGGCGGAAUUCGUCGUGUAGCGGUGAAAUGCUUAGAUAUGACGAAGAACUCCGAUUGCGAAGGCAGCUGACGGGAGCGCAACUGACGCUGAAGCUCGAAGGUGCGGGUAUCGAACAGGAUUAGAUACCCUGGUAGUCCGCACAGUAAACGAUGGAUGCCCGCUGUUGGUACCUAGUAUCAGCGGCUAAGCGAAAGCAUUAAGCAUCCCACCUGGGGAGUACGCCGGCAACGGUGAAACUCAAAGGAAUUGACGGGGGCCCGCACAAGCGG